rnacentral:rRNA from 1 species
UACGGAGGAUGCAAGCGUUAUCCGGAAUGAUUGGGCGUAAAGCGUCCGCAGGUGGCUGUGUAAGUCUGCUGUUAAAGAGUGAGGCUCAACCUCAUAAAAGCAGUGGAAACUACACAGCUAGAGUGCGUUCGGGGCAGAGGGAAUUCCUGGUGUAGCGGUGGAAUGCGCAGAUAUCAGGAGGAACACCGGUGGCGAAGGCGGGAUCCUGGGCCAGUACUGACGCUGAGGAGCGAAAGC